rnacentral:rRNA from 1 species
AGGUGGUGCAUGGUUGUCGUCAGCUCGUGUCGUGAGAUGUUGGGUUAAGUCCCGCAACGAGCGCAACCCUCGCCUCUAGUUGCCAGCAUUCGGUUGGGCGCUCUAAAGAGACUGCCGGUGUCAAACCGGAGGAAGGUGGGAUGACGUCAAAUCAUCAUGCCCCUUAUGUUCUGGGCUACACACGUGCUACAAUGGCCGGUACAGACGGAGGCGAAGCCGCGAGGCGGAGCAAAUCCGAAAAAGCCGGUCUCAGUUCGGAUUGCAGGCUGCAAUUCGCCUGCAUGAAGUCGGAAUCGCUAGUAAUCGCAGGUCAGCAUACUGCGGUGAAUACGUUCCCGGGCCUU